UUGGUUUUUCUACUAGGCAGAAAAUCCCACGUCAACAUAUACCCCUAAAAGGCCACUUUCGAUCAUGAUCGAAUGGAAGAAAAAUGGUAUUUUUGAAAUUAUUCUGACACUUUUCACCUUGUACACGUCACAUCAAUGAAAUGUUCAUGUUAAUUAAUAUUUAUUGAAGCCAUUAUGACCAGUUUCUACAUAAAUUUCACUUCACAACGUGCGUGCAAAUUCAUGUCGAUUACCACAUAUUUCCUGAGGAGCCUUAAAUGUGCGCGGCUACU
rnacentral:lncRNA from 1 species